rnacentral:rRNA from 1 species
UACGAAGGUCCCAAGCGUUAUCCGGAUUUAUUGGGUUUAAAGGGUGCGUAGGCGGGUUAUUAAGUCAGUGGUGAAAGCCUUCAGCUUAACUGAAGAACUGCCAUUGAUACUGAUGAUCUUGAGUAUGGUUGAGGUGGGCGGAAUGUGUCAUGUAGCGGUGAAAUGCUUAGAUAUGACACAGAACACCGAUUGCGAAGGCAGCUCACUAAGCCAUAACUGACGCUGAUGCACGAAAGCGUGGGGAGCAAACAGG